CUGAAUUGGAAAUUUUUCUUCCCAAGGUUAAACACUCCUGACUAUGUGGAAUGCAAAAAUUCACAAAUUUAUUGAAAGAAAUUAAGGGAUUAUUGCCCUGAUUGAGGUAUUUUUGUCUGACUUUCCCAGGAUGUGAGAGGGAAGCGACAUAUCAUUAAUUCCCUCAUCUCGGGAGCAAUUGCUGGAGCUGUUGCAAAGACAGUGGUAGCACCGCUGGAUAGAGCCAAAAUAAUAUUUCAAGUAUCUUCAAGAGGAUUCUCAGCCAAGGAAGUUGUGAAGCUGAUUUACCAAACCUACCGGACGGAUGGUCUCUUCAGCCUUUGGCGGGGUAACUCUGCCACCAUGGUCCGAGUUGUUCCUUAUGCUGCACUUCAGUUUUGCUCUCAUGAACAGUACAAACAGAUUCUGGGAUCCUACUACGGGACCCACGGAAGGUCGGUACACGGGAGCAGG